GAUGAACGCUAGCGGCAGGCUUAACACAUGCAAGUCGAGGGGUAACAUUGCUGCUUGCAGCAGAUGACGACCGGCGCACGGGUGAGUAACGCGUAUGCAACCUACCUUUUACAGGUAGAUAGCUUUCGGAAACGGAAAUUAAUACACCAUAGUCCAUAUAAAUUGCAUGAUUAAUAUGGUAAAGCUUUCGGGUGGUAAAAGAUGGGCAUGCGUGCCAUUAGUUAGUUGGUAAGGUAACGGCUUACCAAGACGAUGAUGGUUAGGGGUUCUAAAAGGAUUAUCCCCCACACUGGUACUGAGACACGGACCAGACUCCUACGGGAGGCAGCAGUGAGGAAUAUUGGUCAAUGGGCGCAAGCCUGAACCAGCCAUGCCGCGUGCAGGAAGAAUGUCUUAUGGAUUGUAAACUGCUUUUAUACAGGAAGAAUAGGCUUUUACGUGUAAAGUUUUGACGGUACUGUACGAAUAAGCACCGGCUAACUCCGUGCCAACAGCCGCGGUAAUACGGAGGGUGCAAGCGUUAUCCGGAUUUAUUAGGUUUAAAGGGUGGUGUAGGCGGAUUGGUAAGUCAGUGGUGAAAUUUCGGAGCUUAACUUCGGCACUGCCAUUGAUACUGUCAAUCUUGAGUUUAGAUGAAGUAGGCGGAAUGUGUAAUGUAGCGGUGAAAUGCUUAGAUAUUACCCAGAACACCGAUUGCGAAGGCAGCUUACUAAUCUUAGACUGACGCUGAUGCACGAAAGCGUGGGUAGCGAACAGGAUUAGAUACCCUGGUAGUCCACGCCGUAAACGAUGAUUACUCGUUGUUGGCGAUAGACAGUCAGCGACUGAGCGAAAGCAUUAAGUAAUCCACCUGGGGAGUACGUUGGCAACAAUGAAACUCAAAGGAAUUGACGGGGGCCCGCACAAGCGGAGGAACAUGUGGUUUAAUUCGAUGAUACGCGAGGAACCUUACCUGGGCUUAAAUGUAUAUUGCAUUAUAAAGAGAUUUAUAUUCCCUUCGGGGCUAUUUACAAGGUGCUGCAUGGCUGUCGUCAGCUCGUGCCGUGAGGUGUCGGGUUAAGUCCCAUAACGAGCGCAACCCCUAUCGUUAGUUGCCAGCAAGUGGUGUUGGGGACUCUAGCGAGACUGCCACCGUAAGGUGAGAGGAAGGUGGGGAUGACGUCAAGUCAGCACGGCCCUUAUGUCCAGGGCUACACACGUGUUACAAUGGUCGGCACAAAGGGCAGCUACUUGGUGACAAGAUGCUAAUCUCGAAAACCGAUCUCAGUUCGGAUCGAAGUCUGCAACUCGACUUCGUGAAGUUGGAUUCGCUAGUAAUCGUAUAUCAGCCAUGAUACGGUGAAUACGUUCCCGGGCCU
rnacentral:rRNA from 1 species